CACGUAGGGCGCGAGCAUUGUCCGGAAUUAUUGGGCGUAAAGAGCUCGUAGGCGGCUUGUCGCGUCGGCUGUGAAAACCUGGGGCUCAACCCCGGGCCUGCAGUCGAUACGGGCAGACUGGAGUUCGGCAGGGGAGACUGGAAUUCCUGGUGUAGCGGUGAAAUGCGCAGAUAUCAGGAGGAACACCGGUGGCGAAGGCGGGUCUCUGGGCCGAUACUGACGCUGAGGAGCGAAAGCGUGGGGAGCGAACAGG
rnacentral:rRNA from 1 species